rnacentral:rRNA from 1 species
UACGUAGGGGGCGAGCGUUGUCCGGAGUUACUGGGCGUAAAGGGCGUGCAGGCGGUGCGGUAAGUUUAGCGUGACAGUCUCCGGCUUAACUGGAGAAGGCCGCUGAAAACUGCUGGACUUGAGGGCCAGAGAGGGACAUAGAAUUCCGGGUGGAGUGGUGAAAUGCGUAGAUAUCCGGAGGAAUACCAAAGGCGAAGGCAGUGUCCUGGCUGGCAACUGACGCUGAGGCGCGAAAGCUAGGGGAGCAAACGGG